UCUAAAAUGGCGGAUAAACGCAUAAAAUUUAAGAUUUUAGCAUGAUUUACAUAAUUAAAUCUUUUAGAA
rnacentral:tRNA from 1 species